rnacentral:rRNA from 1 species
GUGGGGAAUCUUCCGCAAUGGACGAAAGUCUGACGGAGCGACGCCGCGUGAGUGAAGAAGGCCUUCGGGUCGUAAAGCUCUGUCAUCGGGGACGAAUGGUCGAUGGAGUGGAAAGCCAUUGAAAUGACGGUACCCGAGAAGGAAGCCACGGCUAACUACGUGCCAGCAGCCGCGGUAAUACGUAGGUGGCAAGCGUUGUCCGGAAUUAUUGGGCGUAAAGCGCGCGCAGGUGGGAUCUUAAGUCCAUUUUUAAAGUUCGGAGCUCAACUCCGUGAUGGGAUGGAAACUGGGAUUCUUGAGUACCGGAGAGGAAAGCGGAAUUCCCCGUGUAGCGGUGAAAUGCGUAGAUAUGGGGAGGAACACCAGUGGCGAAGGCGGCUUUCUGGACGGUGUCUGACACUGAGGCGCGAAAGCCAGGGGAGCGAACGGGAUUAGAAACCCGAGUAGUCC